ACCCGCUGAACUUAAGCAUAUCAAUAAGCGGAGGAAAAGAAACUAACAAGGAUUCCCCUAGUAACUGCGAGUGAAGCGGGAAAAGCUCAAAUUUGAAAUCUGGCGGUUCUGCCGUCCGAGUUGUAUUCUGGAGAAGCGCCUUCCGUGCCGGACCGUGUACAAGUGCCUUGGAACAGGACGUCAUAGAGGGUGAGAAUCCCGUCUUUGACACGGACCCCCGGUGCUAUGCGAUGCGCUCUCGAAGAGUCGAGUUGUUUGGGAAUGCAGCUCAAAAUGGGUGGUAAAUUCCAUCUAAAGCUAAAUAUUGGCGAGAGACCGAUAGCGAACAAGUACCGUGAGGGAAAGAUGAAAAGCACUUUGGAAAGAGAGUAAAACAGUACGUGAAAUUGUUGAAAGGGAAACGCUUGAAGUCAGUCGCGUCUGCCGGAACUCAGCCUUGCUUCUGCUAGGUGCACUUUCCGGCUCGACGGGCCAGCAUCGGUUUUGGGGCGACGGACACUGGCGAGGGGAAGGUGGCAGCUCUGGCUGUGUUAUAGCCCCUCGUCGCAAACGCCGUCUGGGACCGAGGAAUCCGGCGCAAGCCUGGGAUGCUGGCGUAAUGGCUUUAAACGACCCGUCUUGAAACACGG
rnacentral:rRNA from 1 species